rnacentral:rRNA from 1 species
UACGUAGGGCGCAAGCGUUAUCCGGAAUUAUUGGGCGUAAAGAGCUCGUAGGCGGUUUGUCGCGUCUGCCGUGAAAGUCCGGGGCUCAACUCCGGAUCUGCGGUGGGUACGGGCAGACUAGAGUGAUGUAGGGGAGACUGGAAUUCCUGGUGUAGCGGUGAAAUGCGCAGAUAUCAGGAGGAACACCGAUGGCGAAGGCAGGUCUCUGGGCCGAUAUCGACGCUGAGGAGCGAAAGCGUGGGGAGCGAACAGG